GUUUUUCCAAUUAUUUUCCCUUUUUGCUCUUUUGCAUGAAAUUGGUGAUCACAUAAAACCCUAAAAAUAAGAAUAAAAUCAAUCUUUUCAUCUGCAUAAUGAUUUGCCUUGUUUGAAUUCUAAAAUCUUUUAUAUCCGAAAUCAUUAUGCAGGUUCAUCAAACCCAUUGAACAUAAUGAUCCAACACCAUCUCCCAACUUUGAAUUCC
rnacentral:lncRNA from 1 species